UGGCUGCAGUCGAGGAUCUUCGGCAAUGGGGGAAACCCUGACCGAGCGACGCCGCGUGCGGGAUGAAGGCCUUCGGGUUGUAAACCGCUGUCGUAGAGGAGGAAGUGCAGGGGGGUUCUCCCCUCUGUUUGACCUAUUCUAGGAGGAAGUACGGGCUAAGUUCGUGCCAGCAGCCGCGGUAAGACGAACCGUACAAACGUUACUCGGAAUUACUGGGCUUAAAGGGUGCGUAGGCUGCGCGAAAAGUUGGGUGUGAAAGCCCUCGGCUCAACCGAGGAAUUGCACUCAAAACUACCGUGCUCGAGGGAGACAGAGGUAAGCGGAACUCAAGGUGGAGCGGUGAAAUGCGUUGAUAUCUUGAGGAACACCGGUGGCGAAGGCGGCUUACUGGGUCUCUACUGACGCUGAGGCACGAAAGCUAAGGUAGCAAACGGGAUUAGAUACCCCGGUAGUCUUAGCUGUAAACGAUGAGCACUUGUUUGAAGGGUCCUCCAUAGCCUUUCAGACGUAGCGAAAGUGUUAAGUGCUCCGCCUGGGGAGUAUGGUCGCAAGGCUGAAACUCAAAGAAAUUGACGGGGGCUCACACAA
rnacentral:rRNA from 1 species